GAUGGAGCAGGUGGGGAAGGGCAGGGGCUCUGCAGAUAACGGGCAAAGGCGGGCAGGAGCCAGUGAUUCACGCAGGAGAGGAAACUCGUGUGCUUAGCCAGGCACAGAGAUAAUUCAUUCCCACUCAGCUCUGAAAGCCAGGGAAAUUUUAAUAAAUGCAAUUCCAUUCAAAUGAACAAAUAUUUUAAAACACGAAGUUAUUUAAUCUAGCACUGAAGAACACUCACUGUCUUCAACAGCUCGUCACAAGCCUGGGCGUCCCCUCAAAGCCUGCCAUGUGGGUCCUUCUCCAACGGGGCCCGACUCACAGGCACCCUGACCUGCUGAGCCAUCUCCGCAGCCUGGCACUGGGUUUAGAAACACGUCAGUCUGGAAGCAACCAAAGUCUCCAGACAGGAGAACUAUGGCGUCGUGCAGUCCGACUACUGUACAGUAAGAUAUACAGCAUGGCACAAUGAGGUUCAGAUCUGCCAGGGCUUUCCCUUAGAGUAAGCACCAGGUAUCCUGAUUCCAGAACCACCCCAGCCCCGAGCACAUGGGGACACACAGCCACCCGAAGGGUAACUGCUGUCAGUGCCACAGGCAGGUUUGUUCUGAUCUGGCCUCUCGCUGGGCAGGGGGUAGCAGGGUACUUCACGCCUCUUGAAGCUAGGUGAUCAUAUGACUUACUUUUGCUGGUCAACCGUGAGAGGAGAUGACUGUCCUGCCCAGACAGCACUCUUGCUGGUCUGUGCCAAGAUGAUACCUAGUCAAGCUGGGUCCCCAAGUGCCUGUGACAGGGACCGUUCAACUCCCCACAGGGUAGCAUAAGACAUGCCCUUCACUGCAAAUGGUGUAUGACAUUAUCUCUGGGAAGACAAGGACAAAGGUCCUACUCACCCUGAUCGGGAGCCAAUGACAGACCAAAGUAUGGGUACCAUCAAAAUCUAGUCUAUGAUUUUUUGGGGGUGGGGGUGGUGGUUACUUACAGGACUGUGGGUGAAGAAUUACUCACAGGAAAAGAAAUGAAUCAAAGACAGCUGCAUCUCCAAAGUCCAACCCAGCAUGGGUGACAGCUCACAAAAGCUGGGAACCUGGAGCACGCGGCAAAGCCAACAGGCAGCUAUGGGCUCAGGCAGCUAUGGGCUCAAGAGUGUCCUUUUCUGGUAGCGCAGUUGGUCUAAACCAGCGAUUCUCAUCUUGUGGGUCAUGACCCCUUUGGGGGGUGUGUGUGCAAUGACCCUUUCACAGAUAUUUACAUUACAAUUCAUAACAGCAAAAUUACAGUUAUGAAGUAGCAACAAAAAUAAUUUGUGGUUGGGGAUCAUCAAAACACAAGGAGCUGUAUUAAAGGGUUACAGCAUUAGGAUGGUAAACCACUGCUCUAAACCAAUUCCAGGACACUCAGUCUCUGCCUCUUCUAGGCAACUUAGAGAAUAGUCCAUACUGCCUGAUAUAUGCUAAGGAGAGCCCUAGAGAAUGUGGUCAAUUUCAGGGACUUCCUGAAGCUUUUGAGUUGUUUACUUCCCAGUGGAACCUUUCAGUUCCCUUCCCUCCAGGAUGGAGUGUUUUCUUUCUCUCAGGGAAUUGCUGCACAACAGCAAGGGGUUAAGGCUUAUUUCUGCAAGGUGCCCUCCCCUGCUCUGACUGGUCCUGCAGGACAUGGCAAUCCCACACUACUAAGGUAGAUGCAGACCACUCAAUUUUAUCCGCAGUGAUAGCUAACUCUUUACACAUGUGUAAUGAGCUAGACAGGUUUGUAAAUGCUGGCAAUAUCAGGUAUACUAAAGGAAGUUUUGUGACUUUUUUCUUCUUCUCUGUUACACUGUCUAAUUUUCUAUAGAGAAUAUCUUAUUAUUUUUGGAUGGUGGAUGUUUUAUUAAAUCAUUUCUUUGCAGUGGA